GCCGCGUGCUGCGGCACCGGCAUCGAGCGACGCAACGAUGCAUCGCGAGAGGGAACCCUGUGAGAAUCCGGGACUGUCCCGCAGCGGUAUGCAGGAACGACCGCCGUCUUUUGGCACUGGUCCCCGCGACUGGGAAGCGACGGCCAUUAGGAGCACCGACCGGUGCGCGCCUGCGAGUCCGAAGACCUGCCAGCUGUGCCGGGCGCGC
rnacentral:ncRNA from 1 species